rnacentral:rRNA from 1 species
CCUACGGGAGGCAGCAGUGGGGAAUAUUGCACAAUGGGCGGAAGCCUGAUGCAGCGACGCCGCGUGAGGGAUGAAGGCCUUCGGGUUGUAAACCUCUUUCAGCAGGGACGAAGCGUGAGUGACGGUACCUGCAGAAGAAGCACCGGCUAACUACGUGCCAGCAGCCGCGGUAAUACGUAGGGUGCGAGCGUUGUCCGGAAUUACUGGGCGUAAAGAGUUCGUAGGCGGUUUGUCGCGUCGUUUGUGAAAACCCGGGGCUCAACUUCGGGCUUGCAGGCGAUACGGGCAGACUUGAGUGUUUCAGGGGAGACUGGAAUUCCUGGUGUAGCGGUGAAAUGCGCAGAUAUCAGGAGGAACACCGGUGGCGAAGGCGGGUCUCUGGGAAACAACUGACGCUGAGGAACGAAAGCGUGGGUAGCAAACAGGAUUAGAUACCCUGGUAGUCCACGCCGUAAACGGUGGGCGCUAGGUGUGGGUUCCUUCCACGGGAUCUGUGCCGUAGCUAACGCAUUAAGCGCCCGCCUGGGGAGUACGGCCGCAAGGCUAAAACUCAAAUGAAUUGACGG